rnacentral:rRNA from 1 species
CCUGGCUCAAAUUGAACGCUGGCGGAAUGCUUUCCUUUUGCAAGUCGAACGGCAGCACGGGGGCAACCCUGGUGGCGAGUGGCGAACGGGUGAGUAAUACAUCGGAACGUGCCCAGUCGUGGGGGAUAACGUAGCGAAAGUUACGCUAAUACCGCAUACAAUCUACGGAUGAAAGCGGGGGACCGUAAGGCCUCGCGCGAUUGGAGCGGCCGAUGUCAAAUUAGGUAGUUGGUGAGGUAAAGGCUCACCAAGCCUGCGAUCUGUAGCUGGUCUGAGAGGACAACCAGCCACACUGGGACUGAGACACGGCCCAAACUCCUACGGGAGGCAGCAGUGGGGAAUUUUGGACAAUGGGCGCAAGCCUGAUCCAGCCAUUCCGCGUGCAGGACGAAGGCCCUCGGGUUGUAAACUGCUUUUGUACGGAACGAAAAGCCUAGGGCUAAUACCUCUGGGUCAUGACGGUACCGUAAGAAUAAGCACCGGCUAACUACGUG